AGGAAUAUUGGUCAAUGGGCGAGAGCCUGAACCAGCCAAGUAGCGUGAAGGAUGACUGCCCUAUGGGUUGUAAACUUCUUUUAUAAAGGAAUAAAGUCGGGUAUGGAUACCCGUUUGCAUGUACUUUAUGAAUAAGGAUCGGCUAACUCCGUGCCAGCAGCCGCGGUAAUACGGAGGAUCCGAGCGUUAUCCGGAUUUAUUGGGUUUAAAGGGAGCGUAGAUGGAUGUUUAAGUCAGUUGUGAAAGUUUGCGGCUCAACCGUAAAAUUGCAGUUGAUACUGGAUAUCUUGAGUGCAGUUGAGGCAGGCGGAAUUCGUGGUGUAGCGGUGAAAUGCUUAGAUGUCACGAAGAACUCCGAUUGCGAAGGCAGCCUGCUAAGCUGCAACUGACAUUGAGGCUCGAAAGUGUGGGUAUCAAACAGGAUUAGAUACCCUGGUAGUCCACACGGUAAGCGAUGAAUACUCGCUGUUUGCGAUAUACUGCAAGCGGCCAAGCGAAAGCGUUAAGUAUUCCACCUGGGGAGUACGCCGGCAACGGUGAAACUCAAAGGAAUUGACGGGGGCCCGCACAAGCGGAGGAACAUGUGGUUUAAUUCGAUGAUACGCGAGGAACCUUACCCGGGCUUAAAUUGCAGAUGAAUUACGGUGAAAGCCGUAAGCCGCAAGGCAUCUGUGAAGGUGCUGCAUGGUUGUCGUCAGCUCGUGCCGUGAGGUGUCGGCUUAAGUGCCAUAACGAGCGCAACCCUUGUUGUCAGUUACUAACAGGUUCCGCUGAGGACUCUGACAAGACUGCCAUCGUAAGAUGUGAGGAAGGUGGGGAUGACGUCAAAUCAGCACGGCCCUUACGUCCGGGGCUACACACGUGUUACAAUGGGGGGUACAGAGGGCCGCUACCACGCGAGUGGAUGCCAAUCCCCAAAACCUCUCUCAGUUCGGACUGGAGUCUGCAACCCGACUCCACGAAGCUGGAUUCGCUAGUAAUCGCGCAUCAGCCACGGCGCGGUGAAUACGUUCCCG
rnacentral:rRNA from 1 species